rnacentral:rRNA from 1 species
AGUGAACGCUGGCGGUAGGCCUAACACAUGCAAGUCGAACGGCAGCACAGUAAGAGCUUGCUCUUACGGGUGGCGAGUGGCGGACGGGUGAGGAAUACAUCGGAAUCUACUUUUUCGUGGGGGAUAACGUAGGGAAACUUACGCUAAUACCGCAUACGACCUACGGGUGAAAGCAGGGGAUCUUCGGACCUUGCGCGAUUGAAUGAGCCGAUGUCGGAUUAGCUAGUUGGCGGGGUAAAGGCCCACCAAGGCGACGAUCCGUAGCUGGUCUGAGAGGAUGAUCAGCCACACUGGACCUGAGACACGGUCCAGACUCCUACGGGCGGCAGCAGUGGGGAAUAUUGGACAAUGGGCGCAAGCCUGAUCCAGCCAUACCGCGUGGGUGAAGAAGGCCUUCGGGUUGUAAAGCCCUUUUGUUGGGAAAGAAAAGCAGCAGGUUAAUACCCCGCUGUUCUGACGGUACCCAAAGAAUAAGCACCGGCUAACUUCGUG